rnacentral:tRNA from 2 species
GCCCUGGUAGUUUAGCCCGGUAGAAUGUGAGGCUGUCACCCUUGAGGCCCGGGUUCAAAUCCCGGCCAGGGCG